CUGGCAGUCAUGUGGUGCACCCAUCCCGGCGCAAACAGCUUUGGGCAGGAGCCCGACUGCAAGCUCGUUCUCUCUCUUCCCCCAUGCCAACUUCCCUUGAAAUUAGGAAAUGUUUCCACCAGGCAUUUCAGAGGUGACCUUGGGUCCAGAGCUCGGUGCGCCAUGCAAAGCCCAUGGCAGCCCAUGGAGGACACGCUGCGCGCUGCCAAGAGGACGCCCCGCGUGGGACCGCGUGCCCGGGACCGCCAAGUGUGCUCUGUGCAUGGCAAAGCCACAGCAAGUCUGCAGAAAGACACAGAUGCGUACAUGAACACAGCCAGGAAAGGAAGAACCACCUUCAAAUACCUGAGACACACUGCAAUCAUUUAGACAGAUAAACAUCUUGAUUCCUAGAGAUAACAGGAGCUGAAUGGUUGGCCUCAAAACCAAGCAUUCGUGACAAUUCUUGAAACAAGAAUGUUAUUACUCUCCAUUUCCACAACGAUUUACAUGCAACUGCAAAGAAAACCCUUCUCCCCGUGCAGCUGGAUCGUGUACUCUAAACACGCUGCCCGCAGCCUUGCCAUAGUACCUGAACACCCUGAGCUGGGUGCUGCCUGCCAGAGAUUUUCCUUCUCUUCGCAGCCUGGGAAGGGAGAACAUGGGUUCACCUAAACAGACAGCGACUGUGAUGGCAAUUUCUCAUGCUACGCAAUACAAAACAACUACCACGUGUUUGCUCCCCUCUCUCCCUCUCCAAAAAAAAAGGAGUUGAAUGAGAUCCACCAAGAUUAGUCAAGAAGGGAGCUUGCCCUUGGGGACUGCACCUCGGCACUCGUGGCCAAGUCCCAGAGACUGCUGCGGGACACACUGAUGCAGCCACUCCAGUGAAAGCGCCUGUUGGUGCCAUCUUAUUUUUGCAGCACCCAUCCCUAAGAGUCUUGCACUCACCUCCACAACUAAAUAUCUGCAAAGGGUAACACAGAUGUCUCCUAUGCAUUCAGCUGUCCCUGAAC